AACGGGGGGGGCAAGCGUUGUUCGGAAUUACUGGGCGUAAAGGGUUUGUAGGUGGCUUGCUAAGUCAGACGUGAAAUCCCUCAGCUUAACUGGGGAACUGCGUCUGAGACUGGCGAGCUUGAGUGCAGGAGAGGAACGCGGAAUUCCGGGUGUAGCGGUGAAAUGCGUAGAUAUCCGGAGGAACACCGGUGGCGAAGGCGGCUUCCUGGACCGACACUGACGCUGAGGCGCGAAAGCGUGGGGAGCGAACAGG
rnacentral:rRNA from 1 species